ensembl:lncRNA
CCACACUGAUGGUCUUGUGGUUUUGUCCCUUGUCAACUAAAGAAGUUAAUACAGCAUCACCAUGUCCACUGCUGUUCACACUGUAUCAGACGCUGACAAUGAGUGCUGACAAGUGGAUAUUCCUUUUAGCCUUUUGCUUCAUGCACGCGUCUUCAAAUGGUGAGCACUUAUACGAAGAUUAUCACGAGGAUAAUCAGUGUGAAACACAGAAACUCAAGGCUUCUCUUGGCUCGUCUGUGUUCCUACCGUGCAGCUUAUCAACAAGUAGCCAAAACUGGGUGACAUGGACCCACAAUAGUGAGGCAGAGCUGGCAAAGCUCUUCUUUGAAGGGCGCGUCAAGUUCCUGGACCCCAGACAUGGCAGAGUGAAAGCUUUUCCAAACCAGGUCUCAGAGGGAAAUUUCUCCAUCCGCAUCGAUGAGCUGAACAACUCUGACCUGGGCAGCUAUCGCUGUAUACAGGGAGAUUACUGUCAAAAAGUGGAGUUGCUUGCUGACAGUACACUGAGCGAAGAGAUGAGGCUACUGAUUGUCAUCAGCGUUGCUGCUCUCAGUUUGCUGAGUGUUGGUGGAUACUACUUCUGCAAGGGACGCAUAGCAGGUGCCAGAGCUCCACCUGAGGGAACAGGCAGGGCAGUAGUACAUGAACAGCAGACAGGUAAAGUCUUGUUAAAGCUCAGCAGCUUCCUGUGCAGCAACUUGCAGCCUUUUCCUUUCCAUGGUCACAAACCUCAUCAGCCAAACGUCAGAAAAGACAAGAAAAUGAGCAACUGUUUCCAGUGACAAACCACAUCUACUUAUCGUGAAGGUACAAUGGAUCCAACGCUGAGGCUAAUUAAGAUCAUUGUUGGUCUUGUGAUUUUGGUGCUUAGUCUUGGAUUAUACUGCUGCAAGAAAUUAACAGAAGAUGAAAGUGAUCCACCUGAGGGAGAAGAUGGAGCACCGUUACAAAGACAGCAGAUAGUGUAGCGGCUCUUCCUCCCUCUGCUCUGGAUGUGCUGUUCACACAUUUGAGGACCAUCAAGCUGGUACCAGCAUUUCCCUUUAAUCAGCAGAUGUCGACACAGCAACCAGCACUCCUCUCAAAAUGCCGCCCAAACAAUGGGAUGUAUUUUACUUCAUAUUAUCUGCAAUUUAACAAGAAAAUCUGUAAAACAACAAAACUGUUAUAAAAAUUAUGUAGCGUUUUUCUGUGCUUAAUAAACAGCAAUCAUCUGUAAAAUAAAUACAUCAUUUCUGGAUUCAGAUACUGUAAAAAUGGUGCUAUUUUACAGUCAAAUGUCAAAAAACAAAUUACCGCUUGUAAAAAUAAAGAUUUUUGAUGUGGACAUCAUGUUUGUGACAGUUUGGGCCUCUUAUUUCUCAUUAUGCAGUAAUAAAAACAUUUUUGUUUGAGAUUUUACUAGUUCCCAAAUUACAAAUUAGUCUACUGACCAAAUUAGCAGUUGUUUUCAGUUGAAGCAAUUUCAUUUAUUAUUCUUGAAACACAAUAUUACACCAGUAAUAUUGUGCGUUUUUUUUCAUCAACC